GAAACGGUUGCUAAGACUGGAUAGGAAACAGAAAGGCAUCUUUUUGUUUUUAAAAGACCUUCUUCGAAGGUAUGCUUAAAGAUGGGCUUGCGCCACAUUAGUUAGUUGGUAGGGUAAUGGCCUACCAAGACGAUGAUGUGUAGCUGGACUGAGAGGUUGAACAGCCACAUUGGGACUGAGACACGGCCCAAACUCCUACGGGAGGCAGCAGUAGGGAAUUUUCGGCAAUGGAGGAAACUCUGACCGAGCAACGCCGCGUGAAUGAUGAAGUAUUUCGGUAUGUAAAGUUCUUUUAUUGAAGAAGAAAAAAUAAUGGAAAAAUUAUCUUGACGUUAUUCAAUGAAUAAGCCCCGGCUAACUAUGUGCCAGCAGCCGCGGUAAGACAUAGGGGGCGAGCGUUAUCCGGAAUUAUUGGGCGUAAAGGGUGCGUAGGCGGUUAGGAAAGUCUAUAAUUUAAUUUCAGUGCUUAACGCUGUCUUGUUAUAGAAACUACCUUGACUAGAGUCAGAUAGAGGCAAGCGGAAUUCCAUGUGUAGCGGUAAAAUGUGUAAAUAUAUGGAGGAACACCAGAAGCGUAGGCGGCUUGCUGGGUCUUGACUGACGCUGAGGCACGAAAGCGUGGGUAGCAAACAGGAUUAGAUACCCUGGUAGUCCACGCCGUAAACGAUGAGUACUAAGUGUCGGGAUAAAACUCGGUACUGAAGUUAACACAUUAAGUACUCCGCCUGAGUAGUACGUACGCAAGUAUGAAACUUAAAGGAAUUGACGGGACUCCGCACAAGCGGUGGAUCAUGUUGUUUAAUUCGAAGAUACACGAAAAAUCUUACCAGGUCUUGACAUGCUCUGCAAAGCUAUAGAAAUAUAGUGGAGGUUAUCAGGGACACAGGUGGUGCAUGGUUGUCGUCAGUUCGUGUCGUGAGAUGUUAGGUUAAGUCCUAAAACGAACGCAACCCUUGUCGUUAAUUGCCAGCACGUAAUGGUGGGGACUUUAGCGAGACUGCCAAUUAAAAAUUGGAGGAAGGUGAGGAUUACGUCAAAUCAUCAUGCCCCUUAUGAUCUGGGCUACAAACGUGAUACAAUGGCUGUUACAAAGAGCAGCUGAAGCGCGAGUUUUUAGCAAAUCUCAAAAAAGCAGUCUCAGUUCGGAUUGAAGUCUGUAACUCGACUUCAUGAAGUUGGAAUCGCUAGUAAUCGCGAAUCAGCAUGUCGCGGUGAAUACGUUCUCGGGGUUUGUACACACCGCCCGUCA
rnacentral:rRNA from 1 species